UUUCCGUAGGUGAACCUGUGGAAGGAUCAUUCAUAAUAAAGUGUUUUAUGGCACUUUUUAAAAAUCCAUAUCCACCUUGUGUGCAAUGUUAGAUCUCGUCAAUCUUGGCGAGAUUUUUAUACAUCAACUCAUUCUUUAACUAAUUUGUCUGAAAAAUAUUAUGAAUACUUAAUUCAAAAUACAACUUUCAACAACGGAUCUCUUGGCUCUC
rnacentral:misc_RNA from 1 species